GUGCAGCAGUCGAGAAUCUUCGGCAAUGGGCGAAAGCCUGACCGAGCGACGCCGCGUGCGGGAAGAAGGCCUUCGGGUUGUAAACCGCUUUUCUCAGGGAACAAUCCCGCUUUAGCGGGAUGAGGGUACCUGAGGAAUAAGGGGGGGCUAAUCACGUGCCAGCAGCAGCGGUAAUACGUGACCCCCGAGCGUUAUCCGGAUUUACUGGGCGUAAAGAGCCUUAAGGCGGAGGAGAAAGUCUUUCGUUAAAUUCUCGGGGCUCAACCUCGAGAUUGCGAAAGAAACUUCUCCUCUUGAGGGCGUCAGAGGCCAGCGGAACGGCCGGUGUAGGGGUGAAAUCCGUUGAUAUCGGCCGGAACACCGAAAGCGAAGGCAGCUGGCUGGGGCGACCCUGACGCUGAUUGGCGAAAGCGUGGGGAGCGAAGAGGAUUAGAUACCCCCGUAGUCCCUGAGA
rnacentral:rRNA from 1 species